GGGCCUGUAGCUCAUCUGGUAGAGCGCAGCAUUCGCAUUGCUGAGGUAGGGAGUUCGAGUCUCCCCAGGUCCA
rnacentral:tRNA from 1 species